rnacentral:tRNA from 1 species
AAUAAGAUAAGCUAAAUAAAGCUAGUGGGUUCAUACCCCAAAUAUGAGAAGACCUCUCUUAUUA